rnacentral:rRNA from 1 species
UACGGGGGGGGCAAGCGUUGUUCGGAAUUAUUGGGCGUAAAGGGCGCGUAGGCGGCUUUGCAAGUGACGGGUGAAAGCCCUCGGCUUAACCGAGGAACUGCCUGUCAGACUGUAAGGCUUGAGACCGGGAGAGGUGAGUGGAAUUCCUGGUGUAGCGGUGAAAUGCGCAGAUAUCAGGAAGAACACCCGUGGCGAAGGCGGUUCUCUGGGACGGUACUGACGCUGAGACGCGAAAGCGUGGGGAGCGAACAGG